CUUGCCCCUGGAUGUAUUGUGGAUGUGGGUGCUGUGUCACAUAUGCGACAGAAGGUGGCAGAGCAGAGAGAGGCUAUGUUUACGCUAAAUUUUCUGACCUAUAAACAUCUGAAUGAUUAAUAGCCUAAUAUU